rnacentral:lncRNA from 1 species
GAAUCUGGGGAGAGCAAGAGUUUUCUGUCAGAGAGAGGCAGUUAGCUCUCAAUACUGAGACAGACUAAGGAAGGUCUGGUCAAGAUUUUGCUCCUGAGGAAAACUUACAUCUUUCUUCUGGUGAUUUGGACACCCUUCCCCCAAUUGAUUCCCAACUGAAGGGGCAUUUGAAGAAGACACCAAGCAGCUGACAAGAUCACCUGACAAAUCCUGGUGCCCUGGGUUGGGAUGGUACACAGGGGGGCCCAGGCCAGGGCCAUGCAAGCCUGGAUCUCUUGGGGCCCAAGGCUGCCAAGGCCUGAGUUCCCCAACUUGAGGAGGGAGGAAUGGACCUAUGGAGACCUCAUAGCAUGUCUUACCUCAUGGACUGGUCAAGUUGUUAUUUCCAGUUGUCUGAAGAUCAGAAGUUGGCAGGAAGGUGGACCCAUCCAAGAUUGUCAUCAGCCUUGUCAGGUCCUAGGUACCAAAAUCUCUACUUGUGGCUCUGGUGGUAUCCAUAAUCACACCGCUAUUACAUGUCAUUUAUUCUGAUUCCAAGGUUGUCCCUCUGACUACUAAACUACUAUUUCUCAAAGACGGUUUAACAUAAAAUAAAGCACAAGAAUCAUCAAUACA